UACGUAGGGUGCAAGCGUUAAUCGGAAUUACUGGGCGUAAAGCGUGCGCAGGCGGUUAUGUAAGACAGAUGUGAAAUGCCCGGGCUUAACCUGGGAACUGCAUUUGUGACUGCAAGGCUAGAGUACGGUAGAGGGGGGGAUGGAAUCCGCGUGUAGCAGUGAAAUGCGUAGAUAUGCGGAGGAACACCGAUGCGAAGGCAAUCCCCUGGACCUGUACUGACGCUCAUGCACGAAAGCGUGGGGAGCAAACAGG
rnacentral:rRNA from 1 species